rnacentral:lncRNA from 1 species
AUAAAUUCAUGGAGAGAAAGAAAAAAAAACAAGAAGCACAAAAACAGACUAAAGCUAUUACGCUUCAAUUACAAACUAACUGGCGUCCACUGUAUGAAUACUCUAUAUCCGCCUAUUUGGAUCGUUUAAAAGAAGGGAAAAAACACAAGAAGCAUAAAUAAAUUGUAAACGUAAAAAGAGUUGGUAAAAUAAAAGGGAGCUAGAGAAAAAGAGCAUGUAAAUUCAUGGAGCCGUAGACUAGGCAAUGGUUGAGUACCUCAAUGGAGUUUUUAAGCAAAAGGUCAUCUUCAGGAAUCCAAUGAGAAAGCGGAGCCAGAGCUCCCAUGGCUGCUGCAGCUUUGCAAAAACUCCCUCUUUCUGUUCCUUUCCUCGCCGCGCCGCUUCCUUUCUCUCUGUCUCUCUAGAGUAUUACUU